rnacentral:rRNA from 1 species
GGCUCAGGAUGAACGCUGGCGGCGUGCCUAAUACAUGCAAGUCGAGCGAAUGACGAGGAGCUUGCUCCUCUGAUUUAGCGGCGGACGGGUGAGUAACACGUGGGUAACCUGCCUGUAAGACGGGGAUAACUCCGGGAAACCGGAGCUAAUACCGGAUGAUAACGAGAAGCGCCUGCUUCUUUUUUGAAAGUCGGUUUCGGCUGACGCUUACAGAUGGGCCCGCGGCGCAUUAGCUAGUUGGUGAGGUAACGGCUCACCAAGGCGACGAUGCGUAGCCGACCUGAGAGGGUGAUCGGCCACACUGGGACUGAGACACGGCCCAGACUCCUACGGGAGGCAGCAGUAGGGAAUCUUCGGCAAUGGACGAAAGUCUGACCGAGCAACGCCGCGUGAGCGAUGAAGGCCUUCGGGUCGUAAAGCUCUGUUGUCAGAGAAGAACAAGU